UACGUAGGGUGCGAGCGUUGUCCGGAAUUAUUGGGCGUAAAGAGCUCGUAGGCGGUCUGUCGCGUCGAUCGUGAAAACUUGGGGCUCAACCCUGAGCUUGCGGUCGAUACGGGCAUGACUGGAGUUCGGCAGGGGAGACUGGAAUUCCUGGUGUAGCGGUGAAAUGCGCAGAUAUCAGGAGGAACACCGGCGGCGAAGGCGGGUCUCUGGGCCGAUACUGACGCUGAGGUGCGAAAGCGUGGGGAGCAAACAGG
rnacentral:rRNA from 1 species